rnacentral:misc_RNA from 1 species
CUCACCUAAAUUUAUUUUCCCAUUUCUCUCAAAUACUCGACCCUGCUCCCUCCCUUUGGACCUUCCCCGAGAAGAAUUUUGUUGAAAACAUGUUAUCAAGGAAAAACUCCCUGUAAGGGUGAUUCUUAGGCACAAGCUUCCUAAACUGCUCAAAUUUUUUCUCCGCCUCAUCUUUCUUCCUCAACAGAGUAUAUAUAAUUCCCUGACACAAGUAUGGCCUAAAAUCUCUUGGCUCCUCCUUAACCAACUCCUCAUAAAUCUUCAGAGCAUCCACAUAUUUAUCCUCCAUCACUCUAAUUUGCGCAAUUAAUAACUUAAAAUCCCUCAAGUCAGAUUCUUUCUUCUCUUUCUUGCAUUUAUCCAUCGCUGCUUCAAUUCUUUUUAUCACCUUAUCACCUGAUUCAAUGAAUCCCCGGAUUCAAAAUGCACCAUCACUAGACCGUGAUAAGCCUCCACCCAAAGAGGAUCUUUCUCUAGUAUUUCCUCGAAUCCCUUUCUCGCCAAUUCAAAUUCUCCACUGUAGCUAUAAAUUUGAGGUUUUAGCAACGGCCACUCAUCCUCAUUGGGCUCCAGCUCGAUUAAGCGGUCCACGACUUCGAUUG